rnacentral:misc_RNA from 1 species
AACGCACGAGACCUGCGGACCUGCGGAGGGAUCAUUAAUGAGAAACUGCCCCUCGCGGGUAGAUCUCCCACCCUUUGUAAACUUACCUUUGUUGCUUUGGCAGGCCCGUCUCCGGACCGCCGGCUUCGGCUGGCCAGUGCCUGCCAGAGGGUUCUAAAACUCUGUCUGUCAGUGUUGUCUGAGUCUAUAUACAAUCGUUAAAACUUUCAACAAUGGAUCUCUAGAUCGGAAGAGCACACG